AGAGUUUGAUCCUGGCUCAGGAUGAACGCUAGCGGGAGGCUUAACACAUGCAAGUCGAGGGGUAAAUGGCAGCAAUGCUAUGAGACCGGCGGACGGGUGCGUAACGCGUAUGCAACAUACCUUGUGCAGGGGGAUAGCCCGUGGAAACGCGGAUUAAUAUUCCAUAGUCCAGCUAUAUCGCAUGGUAUAGUUGGUAAAGAUUUAUCGGCACAAGUUUGGCAUGCGUCUGAUUAGCUUGUUGGUAGGGUAACGGCCUACCAAGGCUACGAUCAGUAGGGGUUCUGAGAGGAUUAACCCCCACACUGGUACUGAGACACGGACCAGACUCCUACGGGAGGCAGCAGUGAGGAAUAUUGGUCAAUGGGCGGAAGCCUGAACCAGCCAUCCCGCGUGAAGGAAGACAGCCUUACGGGUUGUAAACUUCUUUUCUGUCAGAAGAAUAAGCUUGUCGAGACGAGUGAUGCCGGUAUGACAGGAAUAAGCAUCGGCUAACUCCGUGCCAGCAGCCGCGGUAAUACGGAGGAUGCAAGCGUUAUCCGGAUUUAUUGGGUUUAAAGGGUGCGCAGGUUGUUUGAUAAGUCAGUGGUGAAAGUCUGUCGCUUAACGGUAGGAUUGCCAUUGAUACUGUUGGACUUGAAUAUGGAUGAGGUAGGCGGAAUGUGUAGUGUAGCGGUGAAAUGCAUAGAUAUUACACAGAACACCGAUUGCGAAGGCAGCUUACUAAUCCAUCAUUGACGCUGAGGCACGAAAGCGUGGGGAUCAAACAGGAUUAGAUACCCUGGUAGUCCACGCCGUAAACGAUGAUCACUCGCUGUUUGCGAUAUACAGUAAGCGGCUAAGCGAAAGCGUUAAGUGAUCCACCUGGGGAGUACGAUCGCAAGGUUGAAACUCAAAGGAAUUGACGGGGGCCCGCAC
rnacentral:rRNA from 1 species